GACGAACGCUGGCGGCGUGCCUAAUGCAUGCAAGUCGCACGCAGAGUGCUUGCACUCUGAGUGGCGCACGGCUGAGGAUCACGUGGGAACCUGCCACCUUGUGGGGGACAACAGCGCGAAAGCGCUGCUAAUCCCGCAUACGCCCGUGGAAGCGAGGCACGCGUGAAAACGCGCAGGGUGAGGGGCCCGCGGCCCAUCAGGUCGUCGGUGGGGUAACGGCCUACCGAGCCGAUGACGGGUAGCUGGUCUGUGAGGACAGACAGCCAGACUGGGACUGAGACACGGCCCAGACUCCUACGGGAGGCAGCAGCAAGGAAUUUUCGUCAAUGGGCGCAAGCCUGAACGAGCAACGCCGCGUGCAGGAUGACGGCCUUCGGGUUGUAAACUGCUUUUGGGGGGGACGAUGAUGACGGUACCCCUUGAAUAAGGCUCGGCUAACUCUGUGCCAGCCGCCGCCGUAAAAC
rnacentral:rRNA from 1 species